ACUAUUAUUGAAAAAUUGCUUACUUUUUCAUUUUUGCCAUAUACUUAUAAAAUAAAUCAAUUGGAAUAUAAAUAUUAUACUUACAUUUCAGUGUAUAUAGAGCAGUAUAAUAAAGUCAUUGUCUGUCUAAAAUCUUAGUCUGUACUGACUUUGCUAGGUUUUUUUUUGUUUUUGUUUUUUUUUUUACAUAACCUAUUGUAAAACUAGUCAAAUAUCUAGAUGAGUUGAUGUACCUCCUAGAAGACCUCUGUGUAUCCCCAGUACGCAUACCCCUGGUUGAGAACCACUGCUCUAAGCAAAAAUGUUUAUUCCCUUGGUGUUAUGGUUCGGUGGUAUGUUGGGAUUACCUGUUUGUUUGAUGGUUAUAUGUUUUAUGUCAUGUGACUAGAUUGAUAAAUUGUUGCAACAACAUUUUUGUGCGCAAAGGUGUGAAUAAAGAAGUUAAUAGGAAAAUAAUUUGAUGGUACCACACAGUUUCAAUAUUAGAAUUAGGGUUUGAUCACCAUGUGCAUGUUCCUAUAAGACACCAAUAGUAGUUCCAUUUUUGCAAAUGUCAGUCAAAUAUAAGUAUAUUUGUCUCAAUGAAAAAAUUAAUUGUAAUUAAUAUAUAUAAAUAUAAAUACAAUUUUGAUUUGGAGUUUGUCAGGACCCAGAUUAAAAUUCAGGAGCUCACUGAGCAAACCACUAUAAUAUUAAUGUAACUAUAUAACAUUACUAUAUUAGAGCAGUUUUAUAAUGUUACAAUAUAUAUUUGGUUAUCAUAAAGAAACAAAGAAAAUACUUAAAAAAAACAGGUUCUAGCUAAAGUAACAUGGUGUUGGGGUUAUCAAGAUAAUCACCCCAGCAAGAGAGUGAGUGAGUAAGUAAAGUGUGUGUUUGUUUGUGUGU